rnacentral:rRNA from 1 species
AACGCGAAGAACCUUACCAAGUCUUGACAUCUGGAUGACCGGUCCGUAAUGGGGCCUUUCCUUCGGGACAUCCAAGACAGGUGGUGCAUGGUUGUCGUCAGCUCGUGUCGUGAGAUGUUGGGUUAAGUCCCGCAACGAGCGCAACCCUUAUCCUUAGUAGCCAGCAGGUAGAGCUGGGCACUCUGGGGAGACUGCCAGGGAUAACCUGGAGGAAGGUGGGGAUGACGUCAAAUCAUCAUGCCCCUUAUGAUUUGGGCUACACACGUGCUACAAUGGCGUAAACAAAGGGAGGCGAAGCCGUGAGGUGGAGCGAACCCCAAAAAUAACGUCUCAGUUCGGAUUGUAGUCUGCAACUCGACUACAUGAAGCUGGAAUCGCUAGUAAUCGCGAAUCAGAAUGUCGCGGUGAAUACGUUCCCGGGUCUUGUACACACCG